rnacentral:misc_RNA from 1 species
GAAAUGCGAUAAGUAAUGUGAAUUGCAGAAUUCAGUGAAUCAUCGAAUCUUUGAACGCACCUUGCGCUCCUUGGUAUUCCUUGGAGCAUGCCUGUUUGAGUAUCAUGAAAUCUUCAAAGUAAAUCUUUUGUUAACUCAAUUGGUUUCUACUUUGGUAUUGGAGGUCUUUGCAGCUUCACACCUGCUCCUCUUUGUUCAUUAGCUGGAUCUCAGUGUUAUGCUUGGUUCCACUCGGCGUGAUAAGUUAUCUAUCGCUGAGGACACUGUAAAAGGUGGCCAAGGUAAAUGCAGAUGAACCGCUUCUAAUAGUCCAUUAACUUGGACAAUACUUUUAUGAUCUGAUCUCAAAUCAAGUAGGACUACCCGCUGAACUUAAGC